GGGCCCGCACAAGCGGUGGAGCAUGUGGUUUAAUUCGAUGAUACGCGAGGAACCUUACCAGGGCUUAAAUGUAAGUUGCAUGGAUCAGAGAUGAUCCUUUCUUCGGACCACUUACAAGGUGCUGCAUGGUUGUCGUCAGCUCGUGCCGUGAGGUGUCAGGUUAAGUCCCGCAACGAGCGCAACCCACGUCUUUAGUUGCCAGCAUUUAGUUGGGCACUCUAGAGAGACUGCCGGUGAUAAACCGGAGGAAGGUGUGGAUGACGUCAAGUCAUCAUGCCCCUUACAUCCUGGGCUACACACGUACUACAAUGCUACGGACAAAGGGCUGCAAGUUCGCGAGGACAAG
rnacentral:rRNA from 1 species